UCCAGACUCCUACGGGAGGCAGCAGUGGGGAAUAUUGGGCAAUGGGCGCAAGCCUGACCCAGCAACGCCGCGUGAAGGAAGAAGGCUUUCGGGUUGUAAACUUCUUUUCUGGGGGACGAAGAAAGUGACGGUACCCCAGGAAUAAGCCACGGCUAACUACGUGCCAGCAGCCGCGGUAAUACGUAUGGGGCAAGCGUUAUCCGGAUUUACUGGGUGUAAAGGGAGCGCAGGCGGCCUGGCAAGCCUGAUGUGAAAUACCGGGGCCCAACCCCGGGGCUGCAUUGGGAACUGCCAGGCUGGAGUGCCGGAGAGGCAGGCGGAAUUCCUAGUGUAGCGGUGAAAUGCGUAGAUAUUAGGAGGAACACCAGUGGCGAAGGCGGCUUGCUGGACUGUAACUGACGUUGAGGCUCGAAAGCGUGGGGAGCAAACAGGAUUAGAUACCCUAGUA
rnacentral:rRNA from 1 species